rnacentral:rRNA from 1 species
AUUGAACGCUGGCGGCAUGCCUUACACAUGCAAGUCGAACGGUAACAGGUUAAGCUGACGAGUGGCGAACGGGUGAGUAAUAUAUCGGAACGUGCCCAGUCGUGGGGGAUAACGUAGCGAAAGCUACGCUAAAACCGCAUACGGUCUACGGAUGAAAGCGGGGGAUCGCAAGACCUCGCGCGAUUGGAACGGCCGAUAUCAGAUUAGGUUGUUGGUGAGGUAAAAGCUCACCAAGCCUGCGACCUGUAGCUGGUCUGAGAGGACGACCAGCCACACUGGAACUGAGACACGGUCCAGACUCCUACGGGAGGCAGCAGUGGGGAAUUUUGGACAAUGGACGCAAGUCUGAUCCAGCAAUGCCGCGUGCAGGACGAAGGCCUUCGGGUUGUAAACUGCUUUUGUACGGAACGAAACGGUGAGCUCUAAUACAGUUUGCUAAUGACGGUACCGUAAGAAUAAGCACCGGCUAACUACGUGCCAGCCGCCGCCGUAA